UCCAAUCCUCUGGGCAUUGCAUUAGUACUCUACAUGUGAAUAAAAGCGGUUGCGGGCAUUUGUAUUUGGUCUGUAGAAGGGAAAAUUUUGGAUUGUCCGAAAAACUACUACUGGGAAAGCCUUUGACCCAGGACGUUUUCAUUGAUCAAGGACUAAAGUUAAGGGAUCGAAGACGAUUAGAUACCGUCGUAAUCUUAACCACAAACUAUGCCGACUAGAGAUUGGGCUGGUUUACUAUGACUAGCUCAGCAUCUUACCAAAAGUAAAGUUUUUGGGUUCUGGGGGGAGGAUGGGACGCAAGGCUGAAACUUAAAGGAAUUGACGGAAGGGCACCACCAGGAGUGGAGCCUGCGGCUUAAUUUGACUCAACACGGGGAAACUCACCAGGUCCAGACAUAGUAAGGAUUGACAGAUUGAAAGCUCUUUCUAGAUUCUAUGGGUGGUGGUGCAUGGCCGUUCUUAGUUCGUGGAGUGAUUUGUCUGCUUAAUUCCGAUAACGAACGAGACCUUAUUCUGCUAAAUAGCUAGGCCAACUUUUUAGUGGGUUAAUAGAUUUAUCUAUCUGGCUUCUUAUAGAGACUAUCGGCUUCAAGCCGAAGGAAGUUUUAGGCAAUAACAGGUCUGUGAUGCCCUUAGAUGUUCUGCGCCGCACGCGCGCUACACUGAUGAAGUCAGCGAGUUUAUAACCUUGGACGGAAGGUCAGGAUAAACUUUUGAAACAUCAACGAGCUGAAUAAAGAGCAUUGCAAU
rnacentral:rRNA from 1 species